rnacentral:rRNA from 1 species
AUGCCAUGGCGAGCCUGACGCAGCAACGCCGCGUGGAUGAUGAAGUGUCUUCGGAAUGUAAAAUCCUUUUGCAGAGGAAGAAUAUCCCGAUUUAUCGGGACUGACGGUACUCUGCGAAUAAGCCACGGCUAACUCUGUGACAGCAGCCGCGGUAAUCGA